UACGGGGGGGGCAAGCGCUGUUCGGAAUUACUGGGCGUAAAGGGCGCGUAGGCGGUUUGUUAAGUUGGAUGUGAAAACUCUGGGCUUAACCCAGAGCCUGCAUCCAAAACUGGCAGGCUAGAGUUUUGGAGGGGGAAGCGGAAUUCCUGGUGUAGCAGUGAAAUGCGUAGAUAUCAGGAGGAACACCGGUGGCGAAGGCGGCUUCCUGGACAAAAACUGACGCUGAGGCGCGAAAGCUAGGGGAGCAAACAGG
rnacentral:rRNA from 1 species